rnacentral:misc_RNA from 1 species
UCUAUAAGAUGUCGCAUCUAUUCAAUUUCUCGUUUGUGAUCGAAUCUCGUUUAUUUUCGAAGUUAAACCAUAGAAAAUAUAGCAUAACAAAAUUUAUCUGAUCUUAUAUUGAUAUUUCAAAACAUGAGAUAAUAGAUAAGUUUUAUAAAUUAAACAUUCUAUUCUGUACAUUGUCUUUGUGCAGGUGAUAUGUGCAAUUUUCUCUUUCACAAAUAUUGUAAAUGUUUGUAAAUAUUUAGAGCAUCGUAUAUAUUCAUGGAACAAGAUGUUAAUCUCGGACAAGUUAUAAUAAAUAUAAAUAUAUACGAUAUUAAAAAUGUAUGCAAUAUUUUAAAUCAAUGUAUAGCUAAGCCUAUAUAUGGGCGCAAUUUUAAAGAGUGGAAUUAAAAAAUUGUGUUUUCGCAAUGCUAUCCGAAGUUGACGUAUUUAUCAGUAAUUAUACUCUUGUUGAUCCUGAAAUAUAUCAACUUUGGGUUGAUGGUCAUUCUUCAAGCGAAGCAGUAAAUAUUUUACAUCAACGAGGAAUAUGUCAUCAAACAAAUGCUCCGAUUGAAUUAGUAGCUUCUGAUAUUCUUGAUCAUUAUCGGACUUAUGCUCUUUUGGAAAAAUUACUUCACACUCCUACUAAAUUAGCGAGUGAACAACUCGCAUUUCAAAUAGAACCACAAACUAGUCAGAUGCUUAUCGAAAUGUAUUAUGAAUUCGAUGAUGUUGUUAUUAGAGAAUUAUUAGGUAAAAAAUUAACAUCGAAAAGUAGAAAAGAUAUGGAUGAGGUAUCGGAAAAAACAGGUAUAACUUUGAAAAGUUGUCGUCGGCAAUAUGACAAUGUAAAAAGAGUGUUCAAAGUAGUUGAAGAUUUGCCAGGUUCUUUGGCUGCCAAUAUUGAACAACAUUUUUUGCUCUCUGAAGAUCUUGCUAAGCGAUACGCCGCUGUGGUAUUCGUAGCAUGUCUUCGAUUUGAAAUGAAUAAGAGAAAGCUUCAGUUUCUGACAUUUCCUGAUUUAUAUCAUUGCGCCAACAGUAUGAUGUCAUCAUGGACAUAUCGUUGUGUAGGAUCGGAAUAUUUUGAUACUGAUUUGGAUAGAGAAUUCUUGUUGGAAUUAGCAGAAUGUAAGGUACUUUUGGAAAAUGAUAAACAUCACAAACAAACGUUCAAGUAUUUAUCAAGAGAUAGAUGCAAAUUUUCGUUCGUAUACAAGAGCUAUUCUAGGAAUAGGAUGUAAUCUUCAUCGUUCUAGAGAUUUACGAUUUUUCUUCUUGGAAUUAGUAGAAAAAUGUAUAGAACCAUGGCGUCAAGUAAAUUGGACACAUACAGAUCUCAGAAAUUUUCUUUCAGUCUAUACUCAAUGUGCAUUAGAUAUGGAUGUUCUUAGAGACAAUGAAUUGAGAGAUGCUUUUGAACGUUAUAUGACUGUUGUUACAUGUUGUUUAUUGCGUAUGUAUCAUACAUGACUAUUAACAACUAAUGAAGAAAAUAUAAUGCAAAAAAUAAAUGCAAUUGGGAAUGAUGACAAGUAAAAUGUAGAAAAUAAAACAAAUCGAGAAAGAUGUAGCUAUAUUUAUUUAUUAAAUUUUCAUAAUAAAUAAUUAAUAAACAAAUAUGGUAUAUUUAUUCAUUUGUUUCAUAUACAUCAGAAUUUACAAUUUUAUCUGUCUAUUUAUUUACUUAUUGAAUACUUUUAAAAAUCACUUUUAAUGUAAUAAUUUAAAAUGAGAAAUAUUACUCUUACUAAUUCUUUAUAUAUAUUUAUUUCAUGUGGCAGUAUUUCAAUAAGCUUUUUCUUUUAUGUGCAAAGAUAUUAAUUUACCUCGAUAGAUAGACUUUAAAAAUCCUAUGUUAAAUUGUUCAAAAUUCUAUCAAGGAAUCAAAGUAUUCAAUUUCUUUUAUACAUAGUAUUAUCUCGAAUCGAUCCGAGUUUGUUUUUACGCACCAGUAUGUAUAAAUAUUACUAUACACAUUUGUACAUACUAACAAAAUCAAAUACUUAUAAUAAACACCAUAAAUUAUUGGCAGCAUGAUGCCAUAAUGACAUUUUUUUAUGUCUCUGGCAUUUUACAGUCGAAUUAUUUUUUAUUUUUCGCUAUAUUGAUGCUACAAUCUAACUAUAUUCUAAUUGGACUAUACAUUUAUAUUACGAAUUUUUAUAUAUGUACAAUUAUUGGAAGUUGAAUUUAUUUUCUAUUAAGCAACUUCAAAACAACUUCCUAUUAAUUGUUAAUAUAU